rnacentral:lncRNA from 1 species
AAAAAUUGUGCGGCACACUGGUGAGCUGACAGGUGAAGAGGUAGACACAGCAUCACGGAGACCUACUACAGCAACAGAAAAACAAAAAAGAUGCCAACUGUGCCCUACAAGAAAGUACAGGAAAAGAAAACCUGCACGCUAUCAGUCUACACACUGUGUAAUAUAAUAAGAAGCUCCUGACAAAACAGCAAGACACUAAGAUGUCCAGUAUGUCCUACAAAAAAAGGCCAGGAACACAAAACAUGCUGUCAGGGUAAGCAAUGUGGGUAUAUGGGACUUGCUAUUGUUC